GGUUGUGGCUCAGUGGUAGAGCGUUCACCUAGCAUGAGUGAGGCACUGGGUUCAAUUCCUAGCACCA
rnacentral:tRNA from 1 species